AUCACAGAGUCAUUGUGGGGGAGGGGGUGGGCCAGCCAGGGCAGGCAGGGACAGCCCCCCUGAUGAGGAGGCCACUGGGCUGAGACCAAUGAAUGAGACGGAGCCAGCCACGUGGUGAGCCAGAAGACGGCAUCACAGGGCUUGAGUCUGGGGGAGCCUGGCUGCCCAGAGGUGGCAGAUGACAUGAAGAAAUACCCAUGUAAGGGCUGGCUGUGUAUGAGAGCAAGCAUUGGGAAGGAUGAAUGCCAACUAUGUUCCAGGAACUUCCACUGUUCUCAUACACCCAGGGGAGUGGUGUUCAGGUGGGUGGCACCCAGGUGAGUGACAUCCCAGUUGAGUGGCACCCAGGUGAGUAGCAUCCAGGUGAGUGACACCUAGGUGAGUGACAUUCAGGUUAGUGGCGUCUGUGUGAGUGGCAUCAUCCAGGUGAGUAGCUUCCAGGUGAGUGGCACCCAGGUGAGUGGCAUUCGGGUGAGUGGCAUUAUCCAGGUAACACCUGGGUGAGUGGCAUCCAGGUGAGUGAUAUCAUCCAGGUAAGUGGCACCUAGGUGACAUCCAGGUGAGUGACGACAUCCAGGUGAGUGACAUCGUCCAGGUAAAUGGCACCCAGGUGAGUAGCAUUCAGGUGAGUGACACCCAGGCGAGUGGCAUCCACGUGACUAGCAUUGUCCAGGUGCAUAACACCCAGGUGAGUGGCACCCAGUUGAGUGGUGCCCAAGUGAGUCACAUCCAGGUAAGUGGGGUCCAGGUGGUGGCACCCAGGCGAGUGGUGCCCAGGUGAGUGACAGCCAGGUGAAUGGUGUCCAGGUGAGUGGCAUCACCCAGGUGAAUGGUGUCCAGGUGAGUGGCAUCCAGGUAAGUGGUGUCCAGGUGGUGGCACCCAGGUGAAUGGUGUCCAGGUGAGGGGCAUCACCCAGGUGAAUGGUGUCCAGGUGAGUGGCAUCCAGGUGGGUGGUACCGUCGACGUGACAAUAGCUAACAAUUAUUGGGCUCAUUGUGGACAGGCACUGUGCCGAGCUUGACAUCACUGAACUCAGUUCAUCCUCGCCAGGAGCUUGUGGGCCGUCCCUAGAUCAGAAUCUGAGGAGAAAGGACUUCCACACGGCAGCCAGCGAGCUGGAGGGCGGCCUCCUGCCACCACCAGGCUCCCUAACCCAGUCCUGGAUAUCUGUGAAAGAAUGAGUGGAUCCCCACAGGCCAGCUAUCCCCAAACACACUCGUUUACACUGAAGCACCAAGAAAUCAGAACCUUCUGGAAUCUUAAUAUGCGAGGAAUCGGUGGAGAAGGCGGCACUGAAGAAGAGUCGUCCCUAGGCCAGGCUGGAGGGAAACUCAAGACGGCGGCCUGGCCCUCCUGGGUGGCGGAAGUGGGAGCAGCAGGAGCCCUGGCGGAUCCGGGAGGCCAGAAGAGCGGAAGCUUCCUCCCCUCUCAGGACAGCCACGAGGACUCUCGGGGGUCGUGGCAGCUGCUCCACUUCCAACUUCCAGAUCCCUCUCACUUUCCUCUUCCCACCAACUCCAACCUGGGACCAAGCAGGGGAAAGCAGCUGCAGCCCAGCUUGACGCCCCUGCAAAUGGAGACCUGUGCACCGGGAUGUGAGCAUUUUAAAGGGCGUCACACAGGGCAUACCCUUCGGUGCCUGGAUUCCUUUGAAGAAGAAACUGAGGCUCAGGAGGUGAUGAGGCAGCUUGGCUAAAGUCCCAUGGAAGUGGCCACACAGCAAUGUUGACCAGGAUGGUCUCGGUCUCCUGAUCUUGUGAUCCGCCCGUCUCGGCCUCCCAAAGUGCUGGGAUUACAAGUGUGAGCCACCGCACCGGCCUACAAGUCCGGGGGAUAGAGAUUCGUAUCCGAUUUGUGGCAGGGCCCACAAGGAGAGAGGAGCACCCCACGCAGGCGAAUCGCCUCUUGUUUUGUCUGCAGAGCCAAGAGAGGCUGAAGUUGGCUGCAGGACAGUUUUCAGCGUCCGAGGAUGGGGCGGCCGGUCAGGCAGACCUGCCCCGCAGGAUGUUCCCGGGAGCAAGCAGUGAGCCCGCCCGCCCCCACGCUCCCUGCCCGGGCGCCCAGCGUGGAGGCUCCCCCGGUCUCCCCACACGGCCGGGGCCUCGCGCCAGCCCCAGCGCAGCCCCUCACCAGCUCCCAGAAACCGGUGAGAAGCAGCCCAUAGCUUGUUACCUGUUUAUCCAAAGGACAGAUCAGUGCUCAAGAAAGGUGGCGACAUGGAGGCCCAGAGUGAGGAAGUCAUGUAUUCAAGGUGGCAGAGCUGGGAUUUGUAUAUCAUCUCUGUACCUGAGCCCCUAACCUGCAAGUCAUAAUAGGCAACCAAUCAAUGUUAUGAUGCAGUGGAGGCCCUUACCAGAAGCCAACCAGAUGCCAGCACCAUGCUCUUGGAUUUCCCAGUCUCCAGAAUGGUGCAGGUGGAGAAGGAACCCUAGACACUGCUCAUCCCAAUCAGGCCCUUUCCACGCCUGUCCCAUUCCAAUUGGGCAUCAGAUGUGGCAUUGAUCAUCAUCUACUUAACAAACGAGGCUCCCCUUUCAAUGCACUUGGGUCUCCUCUGGGCCAACCUUGGUUCUGAGAUAGCAGGUGCUGAAAUACUGCUGAAUCCUCAAAGCCAGACUAGCCAGUGCCUGGCACCUGAUGGGAAUAUGAUUUCAACGAACAGCUCACAGAAUCCUCCCCACAAAGCCGAGAAGCAGGAAGCAGCAACCCUCCCAGAUGAAGAAGCGGAGGCUCGGAAAAGCUAAGUAACUUCUCCAAGCUGACACAGCUCUUGAGAGGAGGGACUGGGAUUCAAAUCCCUGCAGGGGGAGACCAGCAGCCCCGACUUUAGCCGCCAUGCCUCCUGCCUGAGAAGCUAGCUGCGAAGGUUCCAGAAGGAGACUGCCCUCCGGGAAUAGAAACAGCGCAUGACUGCGACCUGUCUGCAAAAAUCUUUAUCACUUGUAAAUCCUUCUCCACCUGAUAAGUUAUCACAUUGGCUCAUGAUGUUUUUUUUCAUUCUCAGUGAGUUCAAAAUACUAUUUUGGUUUGUCUCAGUUUCUUCCUCUCUCUCUCUCUCGUAUAAAGGUAUCCACAUGUCACAUGUCAUUUGUUGAUAAUUAAAUUUUGAAUAGACAAUUCAUUGUCAAAACCAUCAAACAGUAUACUACAUGUCUGCAUUUGACUCUGUAUACAUUUUACCUAACAAGGAAAGCCCAUAAACAAAUACUAUAAGUCUGGCUAAUGAUCCACAUACAGAAGUGUUUGUUUGGGAGGAUGGGCUCUGAGAUCUGCAGCUUACUUUGAAAGGCAUCAAAGUGUAUUGACGGACAUCUGGAUGGAUGGAGGGAUAGAUGUGUGUUAAACCAAAUAGACCAACAUGGCAAUUACAGAAGCUAGAUGAUAAGUACAUCGAUGCUCACUGUACAAUUCUUCAUGUUGCUAAUUUUCAUUAACAUGUUCAAAAAUUCAGAAUACAGACACUAGGUAGAAACUCCAAAGACACAAGUUAAAUGUAAGUCUUCCUCCACCUCAUCCUGUCUGUCAGUCUUUCGGGUUCCCUAACAAUGGCAAUCCCUAGUACCUGUGGCUCUGGGGUAUCAUUCCAGGGAUAUUCUAUGCCUGUUUCAACGCAGAGAUGAUUUAUUUUCAAUGAUGAUAAUGAUAACUAAUAUGCCGCACUUGCUACAUGCCAAGCACUGUCCUGUUUAACAUACACUGAUUUAUGAAAUCUCUUCAACAGCCCUAUGGCGUGGAUGCUGUUACUACCCCAUUUUACAAAGGAGUAAAGUGAGGCCCAGAGAGAACAGUUAAAUCACUUCCCCAGCUUCACUCAACUCUUCUACGGUGAGUCGACGGUACACAUGCCCUUCCACAACACAAAGGUCUCCACUUUGCCACGUGUCACUCUGAUGGUUCCAGGUGCAGAUUUUGCGUCUGCUUCUUGACUUCUAAUGGCCGCACCAUUUUGCAUUGGAUGGUUAUACCAUCAUUUAUUUGACUCAUCUCCUGUGCACAAGCAUCUAGUUUAUCUGCAAACUUUUGCUACCAAAAACAAUGCUGCAACGAAUAAAUAAGCUGAUGCCUGCUUCUAAGUGUGCGUGCAUGCUGUAAUGUGAGAUGAAUUCCCAGAAGUGGAGUGGCUGAGUCCAAGAGUAAAUGCAUUUUUCAUUUUGAUAGUAUCGCCAAAUGUCUUUCCAAAGGGGUUGUGCUGGAUCCCACUCCAGCUAGCAAUGUGUGAGAGUACCAAUCCCACCGCCCACUGCAGCACACAUAUUGACGUCGGCUAGUCCAAUACCAGCACAGGCAGCUGGGCCCCCUGGGGUGAUGCAGUGGGCAAAGUGCGCACUCAGCUCUGAGGUAUUGAGGAAACUGUCUCAUUGUGGUUGGGAUUCAUGUUUUCUUCCAUAAAUGGGACAGAGCAUCUUUCUAUAUGUCUGAAUUCAUUUCAACUGCUGUUCCUUCAACUAGACCAUUUUCUUACAAAUUGUGGGUUUAAGGGCUAGACAAGCAGGUUUAUUCCUCUCUCCCAGUGUUCUAACUGAAGGUAGAUUGGAAAAUUAUCUUCUCUAGGAAGAAAUGUACUACCACUCUGAAGGAUGAAAGAAAGCAAGCUAAAAAGGAGAGAGAGCAUGAAGAAGGAAGACAAAACUGAAGUUAGGUCAUGGAAACCAGAAGAGAUCCUGGGGCCACAUUGUGCACUUGAAUCUCAUUAUGGUCAAACCCUGUUGCAACAUUUCCCAAAAGACCAAGAAGGGGAAAACUCUGGAAGCUGGGGAAGGGAAAGUACUGACAGCCUGUGCCUGAGUGUGUGAGCGAGCAUGUGUGUGUGUGUGUGAGUGUGUGUGUAUCUUAGACUUGGACUACAAAAUUUAGAG